GACAGAGGCCUCAAGCGUUAGGCGGAAUCACUGGGCUUAAAGCGUGUGUAGGCGGAUCGUUAAGUGUCUUGUGAAAUCCCACGGCUCACCCGUGGAACGGCUGGGCAUACUGGCGAUCUUGGGCCAACUAGGGGCAACUGGAACAAGCGGUGGAGCGGUGAAAUGCGUAGAUAUCGUCAGGAACGCCGGUGGUGAAGACGGGUGACUGGGCUAGUUCUGACACUGAGGCACGAAAGCGUGGGGAGCGAACGGG
rnacentral:rRNA from 1 species